GGAGUGAGUAGUGAUUCAGGCCUAGCACAUGCAAGUCGAACGAGGUAGCAAUACCUAGUGGCGGACGGGUGAGGAAUACGUAGGGAUCUGCCUUUAAGUGGGGGAUAACCCGGGGAAACCCGGAUUAAUACCGCAUGAUCUCGCAAGAGCAAAGAGGGGGACCGCAAGGCCUCUCGCCUUUAGAGGAACCUACGUCGGAUUAGCUAGUUGGUGAGGUAACGGCUCACCAAGGCGACGAUCCGUAACUGGUCUGAGAGGAUGAUCAGUCACACCGGAAUUGAGACACGGUCCGGACUCCUACGGGAGGCAGCAGUGGGGAAUAUUGGACAAUGGGCGAAAGCCUGAUCCAUCAAGACCGCGUGUGUGAAGAAGCCCUUCGGG
rnacentral:rRNA from 1 species